rnacentral:rRNA from 1 species
CUACGGAGGGUGCGAGCGUUGUUCGGAAUUAUUGGGCGUAAAGAGCAUGUAGGCGGUCUGUUAAGUCUGGUGUGAAAGCCCGGGGCUCAACCCCGGAAGUGCAUUGGAUACUGGCAGACUUGAGUAUGGGAGAGGAAAGCGGAAUUCCGAGUGUAGGAGUGAAAUCCGUAGAUAUUCGGAGGAACACCAGUGGCGAAGGCGGCUUUCUGGACCAAUACUGACGCUGAGAUGCGAAAGCGUGGGGAGCGAACAGGAUUAGAUACCCCAGUAGUCC